ACCAAAAGCCUCGCACCGAGACUGGUUCUCCUUGGCUUCCUCGACCUAUAUGCUGCCGCCGCCAUCCGCCGCUGCGGCCGCCAUCCGCCGCUGCAGCCGCCACUGCCGCCAUCCGCCGCCGCCGCCGCCAUCCGCCGCUGCCGCCGCCGCCAUCUGCCGCUGCCGCCGCCGCCAUCCGCUGCUGCCGCCAUCCGUUGCAUGUUCCCGCCGCCCCUGCCGUCCGUCGUCGUGCUGCGGUGCCUGCACUGGACGAGCGCCUUACGCUGGAGGCCAUGUUCGUGAGGCCCCAAGUGUACCUCAUGCUAUAGUCGCUCUGAAAAAAGGCCCACACAAUCCAAUCGCCUGUUGCUAAUCCUUCUCCGUCUUACUUCAGUGUCAUCUUGAAGUUCAGAUUUGUAUCAACUGAUCUGAAAAAGGGUCACAGACUCACGAUUCAAUCUAGAAUCUCCCCAAUCCCUUUCUUUUUUGGUCUUCAAUAACAACAUAUUUUCGGUUGUGACUAUGCAGCAUGCCAACAUAAAUCUUUUUAGACCAAUUUACUGAAUCAAUCUCAUAAUGGUUGAUGCAACGGCGGAUAAGGCGGCCGUCAUAGUCAGUGAUGUUGCCAACUGAAGGGGCUGCAGCGGACUGCUAGCGCCAGGAUCCCUACUCUAUUCUCCAUCCGUUCAAUUCAUCACAGAGAUCUAUCCGAAGGCGUCAUUGACAAGGGAGGACGUUGCUAGCCUGGGCGACUAGAUAGAUCCCUUCAUCGGUUUUGUAUUUUUUUGCCGAUUUCUUAUUGAAUAGUGGAUUAAUAUCCUCCUGUGUUUCUAAAUGAAUCUUUUAGUUUUGUAUCCAUAUAGUUGCAAACAAGCCUGACGAAAGAAGACUAGAUGCUAGAUUAGCGUUUUAUACAAACACGAAAAUUGUUGCUUUGCAUUUCCCUGCAAAAUAUGGAUGGGCACAUCUUCAUCCUAUUUUAUAUCAUUGUUUCAGUACACAUAGAGGUAUUGGUCUGGUCGCUUCUAUUCUGAUACAUCAAAUAUGUAAGUGAAACCCUUGAAGCGAAUGUCUUAUAUGAAUUCGUUAUUGCCUGACUACUUAAUAUUGGUGUCUAAAUAAUCUUGCCAUUUUCUAUUUGUUAUUUUGGUUUGCAAGCUAACCUUUUAACUGCUGGUGACUUUUUUGUUCUAAUAACAACAUAGGAGGUGGAUUUUGUACUAUUCUAAUUGAGAAAAUGCCUGUAAUGCAGAAUUGCAGUCUCAAGAAUGAAACUAAAGAAUGUGUGUCAUGAUGUUUUUCUUUAAGAUUAAUUUUAUAAUUUUAUAUGCCAUCUUCUUUUCGCUUCAGGUUUAGAAAUGUCCGUCUGCUACAUAAUGCAUGUGUUCAGCCUCAAAAUUUCAGUGUUAUUACUAUCAUAUUUACUAUUUGUUACUAUUAAUUCACAACACGUCAUUGGUAAAUGUGUACUGUAAAGAACAACUAAUCAAUAUUGUUGUGCUUUGAUGUUUUCCUGCUCUGUUCACAUGCUUCUUUAAUAGUUUCCAUUGGAUUACAGGCAUGAGCUUCUUUGUCUUUGUGGAGCUAGCAGAAAUCUGUUUGUGAUCAAUCAAAGACAAUGAAAACAUUUACUCUAGAUUUUUAUUAGUGUGGAUCCUAUAAAAUACUAUGAUGGAAGUCCAAUGGACAAUCUCAUUUUCUUAGUACUGGUAGUUCUAUCUGGAGUGCUUUUUCCUUCUAUAUGUACUGAAUUAAUAAAAUAGCACUUUUUUAGGAGAUGGUGCAGGGGUGCGAACAACUAAUCAUAGUAUUAGUAAAUCAUUGUAUACGAUCAGUUAUGCUUUUUUCAGACAUAAUACUAUUAUUUUGGGUCAUGACAUAAUGUUCUCUCUCUUUCUCUUGGCAUGAGUGCCUGAGUUUUAGUAGAAGCCUUCAGGUUUGCAAGUUGAGAUUGAAGGUGUUUGAUUUUUGGAGGGCAAUAUCCAUCUAACACUAAAGGUAAAAUGUUCUUGAACAGAUGCCGUAUGGAUAAGAGAACUUAUUAUGCUACGUGAGAACUACAUUUGGCCUCUAAUAUGUAGCAUUAUUAUAGUUGAAUAUAGAGAAGAAAUUGUUAAUAUAUUCUUUGCCUUUGAAUAAAUAACUACCAUAUUAGUUGGCCGCUCUAUCUAUACACAUAAGUAUAGUUCUUACCAUACACAGCAUCAUACGUGUAUUUCCCAUACAAAUGUUUGUUGAACCAAUCACGCUAUAUCUUGGAUUUGAUGUUUCCUC